GGGAUAGCCGCCCGAAAGGACGGGUAAUACCGGAUACCCCCGGGCGCCGCAUGGCGCCCGGGCUAAAGCCCCGACGGGAGGGGAUGGCUCCGCGGCCCAUCAGGUAGACGGCGGGGUGACGGCCCACCGUGCCGACAACGGGUAGCCGGGUUGAGAGACCGACCGGCCAGAUUGGGACUGAGACACGGCCCAGACUCCUACGGGAGGCAGCAGUGGGGAAUCUUGCGCAAUGGGGGGAACCCUGACGCAGCGACGCCGCGUGCGGGACGGAGGCCUUCGGGUCGUAAACCGCUUUCAGCAGGGAAGAGUCAAGACUGUACCUGCAGAAGAAGCCCCGGCUAACUACGUGCCAGCAGCCGCGGUAAUACGUAGGGGGCGAGCGUUAUCCGGAUUCAUUGGGCGUAAAGCGCGCGUAGGCGGCCCGGCAGGCCGGGGGUCGAAGCGGGGGGCUCAACCCCCCGAAGCCCCCGGAACCUCCGCGGCUUGGGUCCGGUAGGGGAGGGUGGAACACCCGGUGUAGCGGUGGAAUGCGCAGAUAUCGGGUGGAACACCGGUGGCGAAGGCGGCCCUCUGGGCCGAGACCGACGCUGAGGCGCGAAAGCUGGGGGAGCGAACAGGAUUAGAUACCCUGGUAGUCCCAGCCGUAAACGAUGGACGCUAGGUGCGGGGGGACGAUCCCCCCGUGCCGCAG
rnacentral:rRNA from 1 species